rnacentral:lncRNA from 1 species
CAAAUUAUCAAAUACACUAUAUUCCAAAUGCAUAUCAUAGUAAGUAUCUAAUUCACAUCACAGUAUAUUAUAUAAAUAAGAUAAGAUCCAAAUCACAUCAUAAAUUUGAAUGAACGACAAAUCAUAUCAUAUAAUCAACCGUCUCAGCCAAAUCAUCCUCUAACUAGAAGUGACAAUAAAAUGGAACACUCACUCUGGAGUUUGACACGACAAUAGACAAGUUAAAAAGGCAAUAUUUAAAUAACUAAAGACCACAUGUGUUGUCCUGAUGAUUACAACAUAUGAUUCAGCAACUAUCUUUCCAUCACAAAAGGAUGGCCUUCAUGCACCGUCAGGUUUGGAAUGGGACUGCUAAGUUGCUUGCUGAGUUCCUUGAGCCUUUAAGAGAAAACCAAUCAGGUUAUCCAUCUCAUGUUGCUUCUUUUGCCAGGCUUCAUUCUUCUCUUGCUGUCUCUUCUUCACAGCUUGCAAUUCUCCAUGUUCCUUCCCCUACAUGUCUUCAAAUGUUGUCACUUGUGCUUCAAGCCUCGCGGCUAACUCCUCUCGAUGCCUAUAAAUUCAACAAACGCAACAUCGUUGUACCUUUGAUGAGAUGAAAACAGACAAGAUAACAAGGUACAAGAGUACCACUAAGAGGCUUACAAUCUAUCAAAUUAAUAAUAUGAAAUAAAGAGGUACAUUAUUAAAUGGCAAGGCAAGCACAUACAGAUGGGCAAAUGAAAGAGUAAACCCAAGAAUAUCUUAUAAUGGUUAAAAAAACAUGCAAACCAAUCAUUUAUUAUUUUAAAAAGCAGCAAGAAACACAAUUAAUAUAUCAAGUCAACAACCCAGGCAAGAAGAAAAUGGACCUUAAAAGAUCUAACAAUUUUACAUGUGAAAAUGUACUUUCCAGGAACUUAAAUGAAUAUAAUAAAGUAGAUAAGUGAGGACGCAAACACAGGACACACUAAUAUUGUACUCCCUCUGUCCGAAAAAACUUGUCCCAAACUUGUUCAUCAAAUGGAUGAAUCUAGCACUAACUUGAUGCUAGAUACAUCCAUUUGAGAGACAAGCUUUUUCAGGCGGAGGGAGUAUAUAACUAACUGUUUAAGUGAAAGCCAUUUUACAUGUCCAAAAUGUUCAGAACUAAAAACAACAAAAAAUACUAUUACUGUCGCUGUUGGCAUAGUUCCGAAAACCAAAAAGUUCACUAUACUCUUUCAAAAUUAAGGCUCAAUGGAUGGUGUUGUACGUUUGUAAAGUAGGAGCAGCUUGAGUUUACCAUGUAUCUGCUUUUAUCAAGUUCUGGGCGUACGAAAAUGCUUGUCGGCUUUAGACCCUUAACAUCAUGGGUAGCAAUCAGUUAGGAGCGGCAAGGCAAAUAUUAAGUGUAGUUCCCUUUUAUUUAGUAGUGGAGAUAAAAGUACACUGGCACAGGGCUAUACAUCUCCGUAAGGUGUCAAAAUCAAGUGCAAUCUCAGUGUUUAUUCAGUUUUGACAGCACUAGUUAGGGACUAUUUAUGGGGUAGCAGAACCACAAGCAGGCAGGAGAACCACAAGCAGGUAGGAGAAUCAGUUUCAAGUUUUAGCUAACCACAAGCAGGCAGUAGAAUCAGUUUAAGGUUUCAGGUUUUAACCACAAGCACUGUGGCCGUGUGGUGCCUGAGUUCAGUUAAAGGGGCAAUCUGUUACCGUGCGUGGGUAUGACUUGUAAAACUGGCUCUGAAUUCCUCUCCAAUACAACUCUGUAUCUCACCUUCUCUCUUUCGUCUACCUCACCUCGGUGCUUUUCUCCCCCAAAUCCCUUCAUUGUAUCCUGGUGACCCUAAUUAACGAGAAGGGCGGGAUGAUUAGUAUGCAUGAACCCUAAUCACUGAACAUUAAGGGCUUGAGGGAUGAGGAAGGCGGGAUGAGAAAAUUACUGAGAGCCAUUACCGGUUGCUGUAGUCGGUGGGGAAAGGCUCACGCGCGGGUUGAUGCGGUGGAUCUGAGCUCCGCUGGUGGGGCGGCCUCCUUCAAUCCGCUGUCGCCGGUCGCUGCAAAUCAGGGGGAGAAUAGAGCGGAGUGCUCGCGGGGUUGGUUGAUGUUGUGGAUCGGAGCUUGAACCGACGGGGCGGCCAGCCGGCGACCCCCAAUCUUCUUCAGGCCCUGAUCGCUGCAGUUGUGGGAUAGGAGAACAGAUUGAAUCUGGCGAAAAAAUGCCGGGGUGGGCGGUGGCUUUUAGCGGCGCCUCUUUGCUGGCGAAAUAGAAGAGUAAUUUUGGAUGGGUCUUUGACGGGUGGGGACACAGGGUGGAUGCAGAAAAGGAUUUAGAGAAGUGGGGGGA